AAAAUAAAAGAAAAGCUAUACCCCUCUCCCCGUCUCCUUGCCGAGCCCCAGACCCCUCGCUCCGUGGAUCUUCUUCCUCCUCGCGCGAGCGCCGCCACACAUCCCGCUGCCGAGCGCCUGAGCCCCCUAGCUCGUCUUCCUCCUCGCUCGAGCGCCUCCACCGCAGGUUGAUCUCCCCUUCGAUUCUCUCGCUCCCGACCGUUUCUCCUCCCAUCACCCCACGAACGGAUUCCGCCCUUUAGAUCCCCGUUUCAUAAUCUUCCCCAAUUCGUAACCAAGGCAAAAAUCAAGCCAGCGUGGCCGCCCUACCUUGCCCUACGGGGUCCUCCGCCCGUGGUUGUAAUCGUACGUACCAACGUACUCGGGCGCAAAAGGGAGAAGAAAAGAUGGCCGUGGUUCUCGCGUGGCUAAACGCCAGGGUUGUUGAUCCGAUGAUGCUAGUAAUCCAGAGGGGAGCAGAGCCGAAGCAGCUGGCAUUCUCCGCCGCUCUUGGUGUCACUCUGGGCAUCUUCCCGAUAUGCGGGACCACUGUUAUUCUUUGUGGAAUUGCUAUAGCAGUGUUAGGAAGCCGCUGCAAUGCUGUUACUGUUAUGGUUGUAAAUUUUGCUGCCACUCCUCUUGAGCUAAGCUUGAUCAUUCCUUUCUUGCGUUUGGGAGAAGUUAUGACGGGCAGUGAGCACUUCCCAUUGACAUCUGAUGCGUUCAAGAAGGUCAUCACUGGCCAUGCCUCAAAGGAAGUGUUACUUAGCAUCGUUCGUGCGAUGCUUGGCUGGGUGAUUGCCGCACCGCUGGUGCUGGCUGUGUUGUACACGAUGUUGAUCCCUUGUUUCAAGUUUCUUGUCAACAAGUUUGGCAUCAUUCCUUCAAGCCCCAGGACGCCGAGCAAAGUGGUAUAGUUUAGUUGUUUUCCGCACAGCAACCUCUCUAAUGCUUCUGAACCUGUGUAAAAAUCUUUAUGUGUCCAAGUGAGAUGCUCCAUAUUCGUUUUGCUUGGCGGUCCAUGUCAGCGGCAUAUAAGCCAUAUCUUAGAUCCUCGUAAUAUUGAGGUUUUGCUUUCCCCAAAUGAAUCUGAAUCUGGACUUGGACAAUUACUCAUCCACGGGGACUGAUCUUACAGCACUGUCAUCUGCAUUUGUUGUCCAUGAGCUUCUGUUGACUCGUGAUAUCAAGUCCUGUAAAUUGUGGCCCUCUACAGUCUGUUGAUAUACUAUUGCUAACUCUAUUAGCUCACUAAGAUAAUUUGUAUGUAUGUAGUUACCUCGUAUUCAAAUUUAGUUGCCAUUACAAAUUGCAAAAAUGAUGCGUUCCCUUGGUCCUAUUUUCCAUCUACA